rnacentral:rRNA from 1 species
UUGAAUGCUAAGAGAAUGGAUUUACAGAGAAAUUCUUUUUUAAUUUUAAAAAUUAAAAUUAUUUUUGUUUGUGCAGAAACAACAAUAAAAUUUAAAGACAAGAAGACCCUACGAAUUUUUAAGAAAUAUUAAAAAGCUUUUUAAUAUUUCUUUUAGUUGGGGCGACUGAUGAAUAUAAAAAACUUUAUUUUCCUUAAAAAAUUGAACCAUUAGUAAUGGUAAUAUGGAAAAAAUACUCUAGGGAUAACAGCGUAAUAAUUUUUGAUAGUUCAUAUAGACAAAAUAGUUUGCGACCUCGAUGUUGGAUUAGGAUUCUUAUUUAAUGAAGAAGUUAAAAAAAGAAGUUUGUUCAACUUUCAAAUUCCUACUUGAUCUGAGU